rnacentral:rRNA from 1 species
AUUGAACGCUGGCGGCAUGCCUUACACAUGCAAGUCGAACGGCAGCACGGGGCAACCUGGUGGCGAGUGGCGAACGGGUGAGUAAUGCAUCGGAACGUACCUUUCAGUGGGGGAUAACGUAGCGAAAGUUACGCUAAUACCGCAUAUUCUGUGAGCAGGAAAGCAGGGGAUCGCAAGACCUUGCGCUGAUUGAGCGGCCGAUGUCAGAUUAGCUAGUUGGUGAGGUAAAGGCUCACCAAGGCGACGAUCUGUAGCGGGUCUGAGAGGAUGAUCCGACACGAUGGAACUGAGAGACGAUGCAGACUCAUACGGGAGGCAGCAGUGGGGAAUUUUGGACAAUGGGGGCAACCCUGAUCCAGCCAUGCCACGUGAGUGAAGAAGGCCUUCGGGUUGUAAAGCUCUUUCGGCCGGGAAGAAAUCGCACGGGCUAAUACCCUGUGUGGAUGACGGUACCGGAAUAAGAAGCACCGGCUAACUACGUGCCAGCCGCCGCCGUAAUAC